GAUGAACGCUGGCGGCGUGCCUAACACAUGCAAGUCGAGCGGACGGACGAGAAGCUCUCUUAUUUGAUGUUAGCGGCGGACGGGCGAGUAACUCAUGGAUAACCAACCUAUAAUUCUGGGCUAACUACGGGGAACCGGAGCUAAUACCGGAUGAUAUUUUGAACUGCAUGGCUCAAAAGUGAAAGACGGUCUUGCUGUCACUUAUAGAUGGAUCCGCGCUGCAUUAGAUAGUUGGUAAGGUAACGGCUUACCAAGGCAACGAUGCAUAGCCGACCUGAGAGGGUGAUAGGCCACACUGGAACUGAGACACGGUCCAGACUCCUACGGGAGGCAGCAGUAGGGAAACGUCCGCAAUGGGCGAAAGCUUGACGGAGCAACGCCGAGUGAGUGAUGAAGGUCUUCGGAUCGGAAAACUCUGUUAUUAGUGAAGAACAUAUGUGUAGGUAACUGUGCACAUCUUGACGGUACCUAAUCAAAAAGCCACGGCUAACUACGUG
rnacentral:rRNA from 1 species